UACGUAGGGGCCUAGCGUUGUCCGGAAUCAUUGGGCGUAAAGAGCUCGUAGGUGGUUCGGCAAGUCACGUGUGAAAUCUCCACGCUUAACGUGGAGGCGCCACGUGAAACUGCCGUGACUCGAGUCCGGUAGGGGAGUGUGGAAUUCCCGGUGUAGCGGUGAAAUGCGCAGAUAUCGGGAGGAACACCAGUGGCGAAGGCGACUCUCUGGUCUGUAACUGACGCUGAGGCGCGAAAGCGUGGGGAGCAAACAGGG
rnacentral:rRNA from 1 species